rnacentral:rRNA from 1 species
CCUACGGGGGGCUGUAGUGAGGAAUAUUGGUCAAUGGGCGCGAGCCUGAACCAGCCAAGUCGCGUGAGGGAGGACGGCCCUACGGGUUGUAAACCUCUUUUGCCGGGGAGCAACGGGCGUCACGUGUGGCGCCACUGAGAGUACCCGGAGAAAAAGCAUCGGCUAACUCCGCGCCAGCAGCCGCGGUAAUACGGAGGAUGCGAGCGUUAUCCGGAUUUAUUGGGUGUAAAGGGUGCGUAGGCGGAUCGUUAAGCGAGUGGUAAAAUUGAGGGGCUCAAGCCCUUCCCGCCAUUGAAACUGGCGCUCUUGAGUGGAAGAGAAGUAUGCGGAAUGCGUGGUGUAGCGGUGAAAUGCAUAGAUAUCACGCAGAACCCCGAUUGCGAAGGCAGCAUGCCGGCUUCCGACUGACGCUGAAGCACGAAAGCGUGGGGAUCGAACAGGAUUAGAUACCCUGGUAGUC